UACGAAGGGGGCUAGCGUUGCUCGGAAUUACUGGGCGUAAAGCGCGCGCAGGCGGUUCUUCAAGUCAGAGGUGAAAGCCCAGAGCUCAACUCUGGAAUGGCCUUUGAGACUAGAGAACUUGGGUACGGGAGAGGUGAGUGGAAUUCCGAGUGUAGAGGUGAAAUUCGUAGAUAUUCGGAAGAACACCAGUGGCGAAGGCGGCUCACUGGCCCGUUACCGACGCUCAGGCGCGACAGCGUGGGGAGCAAACAGG
rnacentral:rRNA from 1 species